UUUAACCCUUCUCAAAUAAAUUAUUGACUUUCUAUUAAAAAAAUAUAUAUAUUUUAGAACAGAAGAAAAAAAUUUACAUACGUAACUCCAAUAUCAAAAUCGGAAGAAAAAUGAUUCUGGGUUCAUGAAAAUGAUCAUUAUACAUUGAUCGUCCCUUCCAGAUUUUCUUUUGCCUCUAUUAGCUCAUAAAUUUUUUCACAGAUGGUGCAAGUAGAAGCCAUUGCUGCUUCUCAGAAGCAGCUUCUACAAAAGCCAACUUGCGCUUGGAUCAGAUGGGUACAAAACCAUCUUCUUCUUCUACUAGUUCUCUUGGCACAACCAGUCCUUGGUGGUCAGAUUGUCAAGUAUUUACCUGGUUUUGAUGGUGAACUUCCCUUCAAACUUGAAACAGGAUAUAUCAGCGUUGAUGAUUCGGAGUUGUUCUAUUAUUUCAUUGAAUCAGAAGGGAACCCUCAAGAAGACCCACUUUUUCUUUGGCUCACUGGUGGACCUGGCUGCACUUCUUUUAGUGGACUCCUUUAUGAAGUUGGUCCAAUGGAGUAUGACAUUGAUAACUACACUGGAGGGUUACCAAAAUUGAAAUAUUAUCCAUAUGCAAGGACGAAGACUGCUAGCAUGAUAUUUCUUGAUGCACCUGUUGGCACUGGUUUCUCUUAUGCAAGAACCCCUGGAGGUUGGCCUACAUCAGAUACAAAAUCAGCUGAACAGUCGUACCAGUUCCUCAGGAAGUGGUUGGUCGAACACCCACAAUUUCUCUCCGUUCAACUAUUUGUUGGCGGUGAUUCUUAUGCAGGCCUUACUGUCCCAUUGAUCACUAAAAAGAUAAUAGAUGGUAACAAAGAAAAAGCCAAGCCAUAUAUGAAUAUCAAAGGAUACUUGGUUGGAUGCCCAGGGACUGAUUCAGUUAUUGAUGGGAACUCAAGAGUAGAUUUUGCUCAUAGAAUGGCACUUAUAUCGGAUGAGAUCUAUGAGAAUGCGAAAAGAAGUUGCAAUGAGAACUAUAUAAAUGUAGAUCCAGCAAAUACGGCAUGCAUAACCGCUAUGGGUGCUAUACAAAAGUGUCUGAAAGAUCUGUCUGACAAAGAUAUUUUGAAACCCAAGUGCGAUUUAUCAUCCCAAGAUCAUCCAGAAGGCCCAGACCGAAGAUUUCUAAAAGAAGGUUCUUCAGAGUUCCUACUCUCGCCAUCAACGUUUCCAAAACCUUGGUGCACUACUUUGAAGCUUACACACAAUAGCAUUUGGGCAAACGAUGAUGGUGUUCAAGAAGCAUUACAUGUUCGGAAGGGAACUGUACCACGUUGGGAGAGAUGCAACAACAGCUUAUCAUACACCCAAGAUGUCUUGAGUGUUAUUGCUGUUCAUAAAGAACUAAGUAGAUCAUCCUUGGAAGUACUUGUAGAGAGUGAUGAGCGUCGCCGGCGAUUGGUUCAGCCUAGUGUUCCUUCAAUACCUCUAGUUUUAGUAGAUCAGAUGGCUCUUGUUGCAAGUUUUGGUUCUUGGAGUUCCAGCAGUUCUAUUACUUGUCAUCAUUGUGGUGCGCCUGGACAUGUCAAAGCUCGUUGCUUCAAACUUCAUCCUGAGUUGGGGCAACGCCAUUCCCGUCCUCAUGGUCCUACUACAUGUGGUUUUGGCUCUGCUCGUACUACUGCUUUGAUGGAAGUUACUCCUGCUUUUGAGCCUCCUAAUGUCCCUAAUCUACAGCAGUUAUAGACUCAGAUUGGUCAGCUUCAGGCCCAACUUGGGUCUCUCACCAUUGGUUCUCUUGGUCUAUCAUCUUCUACUGCCACCCUUGUUACAGGUACUUCUACUGCUUUCCAUGUUCGGUUUGCUAGUCCUUUAUGGAUUUUGGAUUCUGGGGCUAAUGAUCAUAUGACUGGACCUGAGUUCGAAGAGGAUUUUUGGCAGGGAAUAUGAGCGCGAUGGGCUAUACUACUUUGGGGAUCCACUGGACCAGCCUUCUUUGACUUUCGCUAGUUUUCAGGCUUCUAUUUUGCCUACUUUUAUAUUUUGUGUUUUUUCUGCUCAAACUUUAGAGUUAUGGCACGCUCGUAUGAGACAUGUUAACUUUCAAUAUUUAUGUCAACUUUUCCCGUUAUUAAAUAAAGAUUGUAAAGAUUCUAAAUUUCA